GAUGAACGCUGGCGGCGUGCCUAAUACAUGCAAGUCGAGCGAACGGACGCUAAUCUUGUUUCUCUGUUGUUUGCGGCGGACGGGUGAGUCACACGUGUAUCACCUACCUAUAAUACUGGGAUAACUUCGGGAAACCGGAGCUAAUACCGUAUAAUAUUUUGCACCACAUGGUUCAUAGGUGAAAGUCGGUCUUGCUGUCACUUAUAGAUGGUUCCGCGCUGCAUUAGAUAGUUGGUAAGUUAACGGCUUACUAAGGCAACGAUGCGUAGCCGACCUGAUAGGGGGAUAGGCGACACUGGAACUGAGACACGGACCAGAGUACUAAGGGAGGGAGCAGUAGGGAAUGGGACGCAAUAGGCGAAAGCAUUACGGAGCAACGGCGCGUGUGAGAUGAAGGUCUUCGGAGCGGAAAAAUGUGUUACGAGGGAAGAACAGAUGUGUAAGGAAAUGUGCAGAGCGUGACGGUACCUAAUCAGGAAGCAACGGCUAACUACGUG
rnacentral:rRNA from 1 species